rnacentral:rRNA from 1 species
GAUGAACGCUGGCGGCGUGCCUAAUACAUGCAAGUCGAGCGAACAGACGAGGAGCUUGCUCCUUCGACGUUAGCGGCGGACGGGUGAGUAACACGUAGGUAACCUACCUAUAAGACUGGGAUAACUUCGGGAAACCGGAGCUAAUACCGGAUCAUAUUUCGAACCGCAUGGUUCGAUAGUGAAAGAUGGCUUUGCUAUCACUUAUAGAUGGACCUGCGCCGUAUUAGCUAGUUGGUAAGGUAACGGCUUACCAAGGCAACGAUACGUAGCCGACCUGAGAGGAUGAUCGGCCACACUGGAACUGAGACACGGUCCAGACUCCUACGGGAGGCAGCAGUAGGGAAUCUUCCGCAAUGGGCGAAAGCCUGACGGAGCAACGCCGCGUGAGUGAUGAAGGUCUUCGGAUCGUAAAACUCUGUUAUUAGGGAAGAACAAACGUGUAAGUAACUGUGCACGUCUUGACGGUACCUAAUCAGAAAGCCACGGCUAACUACGUG